UGGGGCAUGGGCAGGGCACUGAGGUCUGGGGGCAGCCAGGGACACAGGGGUCCCCAAAGCCCCCCGUGACCCUGGCCGUGCCCGGUGCCCAGGACACAUCGCUGCUGCAGAAUGGAGGGGCAGGGGGAUACCGCCAGGAAGAGCCGCCUGCCCUGCCUGCCCCCACACACCUCAGCUUCCCUGCGUGGGAAGCCAGUGCCCCUCGCCUGGGGAUGGGCAUCCGGCCAGCAGCAAAUGCAGUGCCAGGGGUGCGGGUUAUCUCCAAAGGCGCCCUAUAGCAGCAAAGUGCCCCCUCCAGGGGGAACCCCCAGUCUCUGGGAGAUAAUACCCUCUCCAGAGGUGACCCCCGCUCCUGGGGUAACCCCCCACCCAAGGGUGCUGUCCCUACUCCGCUUUCCCAGUCCGUGGGUGACUCCUCCACUCUGCUAGCCCCACUGCAGGGACAAGGAUGCCCCCCCACUCCAGGGAUGCUCCCCAACUUCAGCCCCCCCACCCAGGGGUGCCCCCCGUGCUCAGGGUGCCCCAGUCCCCACCAGGCCCCAUGCAGCAGAGGAAGGAAGAGCCAGAGUGAAAGCGAAAGCGCUGCAUUUUUCCAGUUUCCUGGAACGAGUGCCACCCGCUCCUGCCCCGCUGCCCCCGGCCUGGCCUGGGCACGGGGCCGCCAUGGCCGAGCAGCUGCUGAGGCUCCUGCAGGAGCUGGACGAGGAGCAGUUCAAGUGCUUCAAGUUCUUCCUGCGGUACUCGGCGCCUGAGCCCCGGAUCGCCUGGGGGCCUCUGGAAAAUGCCUCGCGCCACCAGACCGCUGACCGGCUGCUCGAGCACUACCCGCACGACACCCUGGGUGUGGCCCUGCAGAUGGUGAGGUUGAUACCCCGACUCGACCUGGUCCACAGCUUUCAGCCCCCGCAGGAUGGAGCUGCGCCCAGCCAGGGCAACAGGGGUGCUGCCAACGGCCCUGAGCAAGCCCCGGGUCCAGCAGGGCGGCCGAGGCUGGUGUCACAGUCGCAGCUGAUGAACCUGGCCAGAUGCAUGGGCCGGGAGUGGCGCCAGAUUGGGAUCCAGUUCCUGGGGCUGCAGAAUCACCAGCUGGACCAGCUGCAAGAGGACCACCAUGGCAACCUGGUCAUGCAGGCCUUUGGCAUGCUGCUCGAGUGGAGGCAAAAAAAGGGGCGGGCAGCCACGGCUGCCCACCUGCACAGCAUCCUCUCUGCCCCGGACGUGGCCCUGCAGCCCGAGGCCCUGGACUGCCUCCUGCAGAGCUGAUCAGGACAGGAGCUGGCACAUGGGCUGGGGCUGGGCCCAGCUGGAGAGGCGGUGACAAGGGGCUGGGGCGAAGAGGAAGUCUCAGGAGCUGGAAUCCAGUGCCAGUGAAGCCCAGUGCGAUGGAGGUGGGGACCCUGAACCUUGCUCGGCCCACUUACAAAGGAUUUUUAUUCUCAAUAAACACCAGGUUUUGUAUGUGCAAA